rnacentral:rRNA from 1 species
UAUUGGUCAAUGGGCGUAAGCCUGAACCAGCCAAGUAGCGUGAAGGAUGACUGCCCUAUGGGUUGUAAACUUCUUUUAUAUGGGAAUAAAAUGAGUUACGUGUAUCUUCUUGUAUGUACCAUAUGAAUAAGGAUCGGCUAACUCCGUGCCAGCAGCCGCGGUAAUACGGAGGAUCCGAGCGUUAUCCGGAUUUAUUGGGUUUAAAGGGAGCGUAGGUGGAUUGUUAAGUCAGUUGUGAAAGUUUGCGGCUCAACCGUAAAAUUGCAGUUGAAACUGGCAGUCUUGAGUACAGUAGAGGUGGGCGGAAUUCGUGGUGUAGCGGUGAAAUGCUUAGAUAUCACGAAGAACUCCGAUUGCGAAGGCAGCUCACUAGACUGCAACUGACACUGAUGCUCGAAAGCGUGGGGAGCAAACAG